rnacentral:rRNA from 1 species
GCGCGAAAACUUUACAAUGCUGGCAACAGCGAUAAGGGAACCUCGAGUGCCAGGUUACAAAUCUGGCUGUCGAGAUGCCUAAAAAGCAUUUCAUAGCAAGGGCCGGGCAAGACCGGUGCCAGCCGCCGCGGUAACACCGGCGGCUCGAGUGGUAACCGUUAUUAUUGGGUCUAAAGGGUCUGUAGCCGGCCGGAUAAGUCUCUUGAGAAAUCUGGCAGCUUAACUGUCAGGCUUUCAGGAGAUACUGUCUGGCUCGAGGCCGGGAGAGGUGAGAGGUACUUCAGGGGUAGGGCUGAGAUCUUGUAAUCCUUGAAGGACCGCCAGUGGCGAAGGCGUCUCACCAUAACGGACCUGACGGCAAGGGACGAAAGCUAGGGGCACGAAAC